ACGGAGGGUGCAAGCGUUGUUCGGAUUGACUGGGCGUAAAGGGCGUGUAGGCGGUUAGCCAAGUCUGGUGUGAAAGCCCGGGGCUCAGCCCCGGAAGUGCAUCGGAAACUAGUUAGCUGGAGCGCGAUAGAGGAGGGUGGAAUUCCUGGUGUAGCGGUGAAAUGCGUAGAUAUCAGGAGGAACACCGGCGGCGAAGGCGGCCCUCUGGAUCGUUGCUGACGCUGAGACGCGAAAGCGUGGGGAGCAAACAGG
rnacentral:rRNA from 1 species